ACUUCUUGGAGAACAAGCCCUUUAGGUAUAGCCACAGGCAAAUUUAGUAACAAAAAGAGGUUAAUAAUCGAUUUCUCAGCACCUCACUCUUCCACCUCCCCAAGUUUAAAUUCCCUUAUACCUUCAGAAGACUUCUCACUACAAUAUGCUAAAAUAGUCGAUGCCAUACAAGCCGGUGUCAACUUUAGUAAGGCAGCCUGGUUAAGCAAAAUGGAUAUCACAAAUGCUUUCAAACUUCUACCAAUUAAGCAGUCACUCUGGCAUCUACAUGGCGUUAAGUGGGAAGAGAAAUACUAUUUUGUAACUAGGCUGACCUUCGGCUCCAAAAGUAGCCCAAAAAUUAUCAACAUAUUAGCAGAAACCUUGAAUUGGCUACUACUUAACAAGUCCAGGUGCCCAGUAGUAAUCAACUAACUCGAUGAUUUUCUUUAUGUUGAGCCUCACC